rfam:Prunus persica cultivar Lovell unplaced genomic scaffold scaffold_42, whole genome shotgun sequence.
CCAAAACUAGUCGCUUGUCAUUUUUAAUUGAUUCUUAGUGUGUUAAAAUUUUCUAAGAAACAAUUAAAAAAUGACAAGCAACUAGUUCUGG